rnacentral:tRNA from 1 species
GGUGCGUUAGUUCAGUUGGUUAGAAUAUCUGCCUGUCACGCAGGGGGUCACGGGUUCGAGUCCCGUACGCACCGCCA